CCGUGUUGCCCGACCUAUGUUGCCUCGGCGGGCCCCGCGCCCGCCGACGGCCCCCCUGAACGCUGUCUGAAGUUGCAGUCUGAGACCUAUAACGAAAUUAGUUAAAACUUUCAACAACGGAUCUCUUGGUUCCGGCAUCGAUGAAGAACGCAGCGAAAUGCGAUAACUAAUGUGAAUUGCAGAAUUCAGUGAAUCAUCGAGUCUUUGAACGCACAUUGCGCCCUCUGGUAUUCCGGAGGGCAUGCCUGUCCGAGCGUCAUUGCUGCCCUCAAGCCCGGCUUGUGUGUUGGGCCCCGUCCCCCCCGCCGGGGGGACGGGCCCGAAAGGCAGCGGCGGCACCGCGUCCGGUCCUCGAGCGUAUGGGGCUUCGUCACCCGCUCUAGUAGGCCCGGCCGGCGCCAGCCGACCCCCAACCUUUAAUUAUCUCAGGUUGACCUCGGAUCAGGUAGGGAUACCCGCUGAACUUAAGCAU
rnacentral:rRNA from 1 species